ACAAAAACAUAGUCUCUUGAUAUUAUAAGAGGUGGGCUCUGCCCAGUGAUACGUUUAACGGCCGCAGUACCUUGACUGUGCUAAGGUAGCAUAAUAAUUUGGCUUUUAAUUGGAGUCGUGUAUGAAAGAGAAUACGGGGAAAGAUUGUCUCUAAUAGGUUGUAUAAAAUUUACUAAGUAGGUGAAAAUUCCUAUAGUAAUAAAUUAGACGAGAAGACCCUUAGAAUUUUACAUUGUUUUGUUGGGGCGACAAAGUUACAUAAAACUUACUAAACAAAGUUAAUACAAGCCGAUGAUAUAUGGUUGAAUAAAUUACCUAAGGGAUAACAGCACAAUUUUAUAAAACGUUUGUGACCUCGAUGUUGGAUUAGGGACUGUAGUGGUUAGUAACUUCUAUAUUAGGUUCUGUUCGAACUUGUUUCCUACGUGAUCUGA
rnacentral:rRNA from 1 species